rnacentral:rRNA from 1 species
UACGUAGGGGGCAAGCGUUGUCCGGAAUCAUUGGGCGUAAAGAGCGUGUAGGCGGCUUGGUAAGUCCGCUGUGAAAGUCCAGGGCUCAACCCUGGAAUGCCGGUGGAAACUGUCAAGCUUGAGUCCGGAAGAGGCGAGUGGAAUUCCUGGUGUAGCGGUGAAAUGCGCAGAUAUCAGGAGGAACACCAAUGGCGAAGGCAGCUCGCUGGGACGGUACUGACGCUGAGACGCGAAAGCGUGGGGAGCAAAAAGG